CGCCCGAAAACUCCGUCUCUGCGCCGCGGGUUGGGAAAGUUUCGGUGGGCUCUACCCGCCCUGUGAGGGGAUCCCGCGAGCGCUGCCCCGCUGCGCUGAGGGAGGGGAAGGCAAGGCCGAGGCCGGCGCCCUGUCCCGGGUAGCUUCAGCGGUCGAUGCGCUCUGAUAUAGUGGCACCGGUCCUCUGCUCGCGCCUGACUGUCGGGCAGCCUCCAGAAGCACCAUAUGGUACCUCAUUCAGUUUCCAUACAAGUAAAACCUAGCAGUCCUGGGAACCAGACAUCCUAUGUCUUCUUCACCUGAACCAGGUCAGCUAAAGAAAGCAAAAGUUUUCCUGUGCUGUCUUUUUGAGCAUCUCAGCCCUAAUCUGAAGGCACCACCAUCUAGUGGGAUAAGAAGAGAAUGCAUGCAUCUGCAGCUGUUAUCCUAAGAUGCCUCCUUGUGUUCAGGUCUCAUUGAUCUUGUUACAGCAUUUCACACAUACGGGGAUAAUUGGUUU